GAGCAAACGCCAGCAUGACUAGGGUCUGAGGAAGUGCUUCUGUGUUCCUACCAAGGGUUUGUGGGUGCAGAGGAAGGGUGCAAGGACAGCAGGGACAUUUUGAGCUACGAUGGAUAUCCCCACUGAUUUGGUGCCGUCCUCCAUGAUGUCACAACCUGAGAUAAUUGAGUCCACAGCCAUGAGUGAACCACAGUGCUACUACAAUGAAACCAUUGCCUUCUUUUAUAACCGAAGUGGAAAAUAUCUAGCCACUGAAUGGAACACUGUCAGCAAGCUUGUAAUGGGACUGGGGAUUACCGUCUGCAUCUUCAUAAUGCUGGCCAACCUCUUGGUUAUGGUGGCUAUUUAUGUCAACCGCCGAUUCCACUUUCCUAUUUAUUACUUAAUGGCCAACUUGGCCGCUGCAGACUUUUUUGCAGGGCUGGCUUACUUUUACUUAAUGUUCAACACAGGACCCAACACUAGAAGAUUGACUGUAAGCACCUGGCUUCUCCGUCAGGGUCUCAUUGACACUAGCCUGACAGCCUCUGUAGCCAAUUUGUUGGCCAUUGCUAUUGAGCGGCACAUUACAGUUUUCCGAAUGCAGCUACAUACUCGAAUGAGCAACCGUCGAGUGGUGGUCGUAAUUGUUGUUAUCUGGACUAUGGCCAUUGUCAUGGGCGCCAUACCAAGUGUCGGAUGGAACUGUAUUUGUGAUAUCACUCACUGCUCCAACAUGGCACCCCUCUAUAGUGACUCCUACCUGGUCUUCUGGGCUAUUUUCAACCUGGUCACUUUUGUGGUCAUGGUGGUCCUAUAUGCUCAUAUCUUUGGGUACGUCCGCCAAAGGACUAUGAGAAUGUCCAGACACAGUUCUGGACCCCGCAGGAAUCGGGACACCAUGAUGAGCCUCCUGAAGACUGUGGUCAUUGUGCUUGGUAAGUCCUUACUUUGCCUUCCCUGUCUUGCCCCCCUUUAUCUCUUAUCAGAUUAUUUCAGUAAUGCAUGUCCAGCUUCUGGGAGGUCGGCAGCAUCUGGAAGACACUAG